UACUCCCCAGGCGGUCGAUUUAUCACGUUAGCUACGGGCGCCAAACUUAAAGUUCAACCCCCAAAUCGACAUCGUUUACAGCGUGGACUACCAGGGUAUCUAAUCCUGUUUGCUCCCCACGCUUUCGCACAUGAGCGUCAGUACAUUCCCAAGGGGCUGCCUUCGCCUUCGGUAUUCCUCCACAUCUCUACGCAUUUCACCGCUACACGUGGAAUUCUACCCCUCCCUAAAGUACUCUAGCGACCCAGUAUGAAAUGCAAUUCCCAGGUUAAGCCCGGGGCUUUCACACCUCACUUAAGUCACCGCCUGCGUGCCCUUUACGCCCAGUUAUUCCGAUUAACGCUCGCACCCUCCGCAUUACCGCGGCUGCUGGCACGGAGUUAGCCGGUGCUUCUUCUGUAGUUAACGUCAAUCAUCUAGUCUAUUAAACUAAAUGCCUUCCUCGCUACCGAAAGAACUUUACAACCCGAAGGCCUUCUUCAUUCACGCGGCAUGGCUGCGUCAGGGUUGCCCCCAUUGCGCAAUAUUCCCCACUGCUGCCUCCCG
rnacentral:rRNA from 1 species